UUAGAAUAAAAAGGAAGAACAGCAGUUCUGCAGUCAGCAAACAGAGGAAAUUCAAGUUUAUUUCUAUCUUUAAGAAGCACGAUGAGUGAGUGCAGAACUUCUACACCUGAACCAGAGAUCCCCGUCACCAUUGCCAUGUCUUCAGGACUCCUCUUCAAGCAAGAACAGCAGGGCUAUGGCCCUGCCUUCCAAUUUGUUGAGGCUCUGAAGGCAGUCAAUGCUGAACUCACAAACCAUUACCCUGACAGU